GGACCCGCACAAGCGGUGGAACAUGUGGUUUAAUUCGAUGCAACGCGAAGAACCUUACCUACUCUUGACAUCCAGAGAAGCUCACGUAAUGGUGAGUGUGCCUUCGGGAACUCUGAGACAGGUGCUGCAUGGCUGUCGUCAGCUCGUGUUGUGAAAUGUUGGGUUAAGUCCCGUAACGAGCGCAACCCCUAUCCUUAGUUGCCAGCGCGUAAUGGCGGGGACUCUAAGGAGACUGCCGGUGAUAAACCGGAGGAAGGUGGGGAUGACGUCAAGUCCUCAUGGCCCUUACGAGUAGGGCUACACACGUGUUACAAUGGAGCGUACAGAGGGUUGCCAAGCCGCAAGGUGGAGCUAAUCCCUUAAAGCGCCUCGUAGUCCGGAUUGGAGUCUGCAACUCGACUCCAUGAAGUCGGAAUC
rnacentral:rRNA from 1 species